rnacentral:lncRNA from 1 species
GAGUACACCGUUACAAUCAAAUUCAAUUUCUUAAACAAUAAUUGCAAUAGUCCCUGAUAUGGAGAAUCUAUUGCUUUUACAAGGUAGGAAACUGCCUAAGAAAAUCUAACAACAAGAAUCUGACUGGAAAAAAUCGCACCCCACCCGUGAAGACUCACUUCUCCUUAUAUACUCCCCACCUUUCUUAAAAAUAGCCUUGAAUAUCU